GGAAGGAUCAUUACCACACCGAUCCAAGAUCUCCCACACUGUGAACCUGAGCAGCUGAUAUGAAUGUAUAUUUGUCACGGAGGCAACCAGCCUAGUCUGUCUGUCUGUUGUGCAAGUAUGUAUGAUAUUGGUCUGUUCUGCCGAAAGAGUAACCUCUUUUCCACACGUAACCAAACCUGACCAAAUGACCUAAGAUGAAAAGAUUAGACUUUGCAAUGCAGCCUGUUGAGAAGCAGAACGCGUUCUUUGACUAAUCUGGUAUUAUGCCAAUCAAAAUACAACUUUCAGCGAUGGAUGUCUAGGUUCCCACAACGAUGAAGAACGCAGCGAAAUGCGAUACGUAAUGCGAAUUGCAAGACCUCGUGAAUCAUCAAGAUUUUGAACGCACAUUGCGCUUCCGGGAUUUUCUCGGGAGCAUGCUUGUCUGAGUGUCAGCGAACCCCACUCAACACUGACGCUAGUCAGUAGUUGGACUGUGACUGUGCCAUUUUAGUGUUCUAAAGUCGGCUCAUUUCAAACACAGCGUCGCAUGAACUUAUCGUGUGACCAUGUAGCCUGUGCAUUGUCGUGUUCGACUGUGACCUGGUUUCUGCCGAAAGCAUGCAUCUUGAUGCCAUUUCGUCUUCGCUAGUUUGAUCUGGUUGUACUACUUUGUAGCGUGACCAGUAUCGAAGUGAGGAGGCUUAUAAUGGUAAAGAAUGCUGCAAGUCAGAAGUUCGAGUCCACCUGUAACACCAGCGACAAAGCAUAGACUCAGCAAUGAUUGUUUGUUUUAGCUUUUAUUUCUGCAGCACUCCUGUACUGUAGAACAUAUACGCUAGAAGAAACAUGACACUUUCGUUUCUGAUCUCAGCUCAAGCAAGAGGACCCGCUGAAUUUAAGCAUAUAAUUAAGCGGAGGAAAAGAAACUAACCAGGAUUCCCUCAGUAAGGGCGACUGAAGCGGGAAUAGCUCACCAUGUGAAUCUGCGCUCUUUGAGCGUCGAAUUGUGGUCUGGAGACUCUUGCAUUAUUGACCGGACUAAGUCCCUUGGAACAGGGCAGCAGAGAGGGUGAGACUCCCGUUCGUCUGGCCAUUUGAGCAAGUGUCUACGAGUCGAGUUGUUUGGGAUUGCAGCUCAAAGUGGGUGGUAAAUUCCAUCUAAAGCUAAAUACUGGUGGGAGACCGAUAGCGUACAAGUACCGUGAGGGAAAGAUGCAAAGAACUUUGAAAAGAGAGUUAAAGAGUACCUGAAAUUGCUGAAAAGGAAGCGAAGGAAACCAGUGCCAGUUGAGUCAUACUUCCCUGAUCGCUUGCGGUCUGGGCGCUGUGGCCAGCGUUGUCAGUUUUGGUUGGACUUGCCGGAACCGCGUUCAGGUAGUUGACCUGUCCUUGUCGCGGCCGGUCUGACUGAGUCUGACGAAAUGGUUUUCUUUACCCCGUCUUGAAACACGGACCAAGGAGUUUAACAUAUGUGCGAGUACAGGGGUGGCAAACCCCGGUGCGCAAUGAAAGUGACAGUGGCUGGAAUUUUUGCACAGUCCGCCGGCCAUAAUCCUUUGGGAGAACGGUCUGAGUGUGAGCAUACAUGUUGAGACCCGAAAGAUGGUGAACUAUGCCUGAAUAGGGUGAAGCCAGGGGAAACUCUGGUGGAGGCUCGUAGCGAUUCUGACGUGCAAAUCGAUCGUCAAAUUUGGGUAUAGGGGCGAAAGACUAAUCGAACUAUCUAGUAGCUGGUUCCCUC
rnacentral:misc_RNA from 1 species